GAAGCCACAAAACUAGGUGUUGAUGUCAAUCUCUAAAGGAGGAAAUCUAUACCCUGCCCCUCUCCAAACUCAAACAUCUAGUAUAGUAGGUUAGAGAAAUGUAGAGCUAAAAAUGAGAGAACCCCAAAGAAGUCUGGAGUUUUGAGAGCACAGAGAACAAUUUUUUUCCCCAAGAAAGCUCUGGGAAUUUUUCCAUCCUUAUAGAAAAAUUCUACGUCCAGAAUGAUGAGGAACAAUGGUUUGGAAAUGCCUGCAUAAGGAUUCCAGGAAUUUGCUCCUGAAGGCAGCCUCACAGAGAAGGUGCCCAAGGGAUCAUCCUAAAGAGGGAGGUGGUGAGGACAGAGGAACACAGUAGCAGAUACCAGCAUGAACCAAUAUAACUGGAAAAUAGGGAGAAUAUACAACAGAGGCCAGUGUGGAAAGCCUACUGACCAGAGAGAGAUGGGGGAGUAGCCGAUGCAGCAGUGGGUUUGCAACUUGGACUGCCUGCCUCUGAGUACCUUGUAUCAUCUUCUGAAUUCCCUCCCCUCCUGACACCUUAAUGCUACAUUAGCCUAUUAGAACUUACAUGCAACUCCAGAGAAAAAGAAAAUGUGUUUGUUAUCCAUUGUUGUAUAGGAAGUUACCAUGAAUUUAGGGAGCUUAAAAUAACACCAAUUAGUUCACACUUCUGUGAGUCAGAAGUGACGACGUUGAAUUCUCUGCUCAAGGUGUCGGAAGACUAAAAUUAAGGUGUCUUCAAGGCUGACUUCUUGCCUGGAGGCUCGAGAAAAAUCUGCUGCCAAGCUCACUGAGGUCAUUGGCAGAACUCAGUUCCUUGUGCUAUAGGAUUGAGGCCCUUUCUCCUGGCUGGCUGUUAGCCAGGAAUUGCUCUCACACCUAGACACUGCCUACAUUCUUGGCUGCAUGGACCCUUCUAUCCUCAAUGCAAUCUGUGAAAAAUCUCCCUCACAUCAAAUCCCUCCCUAGCUUCAAAUCUCCAUGACUUCUCUGUCUCUGACCUUCAGGCUCAGAUUUAAAGGGCUCGUGUAAUUAAGUGAAAUUCCCCCAGAUGGUCUCCCUUCCUUAAAGUAAACCUUAAUUAUAUCUUCAAAACCCAUUCACAGCAGCACCUAGAUGAGUGCUUGAUUGAUUAACUGGAAGAAGGUGUGUGAACUCCAGAGGCCAGCAAUCUUGUGAGCUAUUUUAGAAUUUGGCCUACCACACAGAUGGAAAUCUGGAAUUGACUUAUAAAACCCUAAUUGAAUGUGUUUAUGUUGAGGUAUUGUUAAUAUUACAAAAUUUCUUUCACCCAAAUCUGCAGCUAUCUAAUUUUAUUCAUUUUAUUUAGUUUUUUUUAAGCACACCUUGGGAAAAUUCAAAGAAGCAGCAGGGUCCUUAACAUUCUUCAGAAGCUAAGGAGGGAUAAGAAAGACUAGAAGGUGCUUUGAAGAGUACUCUUGAAUUCCACUUCCUGUAAGAGUACUCUGAUCCUUGUAGACCAAAAGGUUUUCCCUGUGAAAUUGCUGCUGUGAAAUAACCCUCCAUCUUGACUGGUGGCUGAGAACCAUUUUCCUGAGAAUUAUGAUUCCCCCGUGAAGCAAAACAGGAAAAUGCUGAAGACCACUCUACACUGAGACUACACUCAGAAAUGCACCUACAAGAGUAGGUUUUUUAAACAUUAAAGUGCUCAGUUACAAAUAUAAUUUUCCUGAUAUAGGGCUUUUGUUUUUACCUUAUAAAACAGAAAUUUUAAAUCAGAUUUUCAAUACUGUCUUUACUCGGCUUUAGUUAUGCCCAACUAUUACUCAUAAUAAUGCUGGCUCUAUCCAUGAUGCCAAGAGCUCUUUCCAUAAACCAAAAUAAAUAGACAGUCUCCUUUAGGAAUAAAGGGAGACUGAAUAAGUUGAAGCAAGACACUCUUCGAUCAGCAUCUGGAGCACCAAGCAGCUUCUAAAUUUAUUCAAUUCGUACUUUGCUUUUAAAGAAGACUGAGCCAUUUAUUUCUAUCCUAUAGGCAAACUCAGAAUAUAAUGGACAAAAUGUCAGGGAGAAUGAAGAAAAAUGAUGAUAUCCCCCAGCAGAGUAAAUACACCUUCUGCAAAAAUAAAGUUACCCGAGUCACCCUAAGCCCCAAGUGCUCAGCUGCUGUGACACAUAGGACUGAGCUGAAAUCAUUGAGCAAAGAACUUGGGUAAAUGAGGAUUUAUAUUUAGAAUAAAGCAGCAUCAGUGAAGAUUGAUAAUCUUUCAAGAACAGACGCCCUAGUUCUCAAAUCCCUAGAUGUUAUUUCAAUUUUCCUAAAGGUAUUCUGUAACUUUGGAUCACAUUCCACUCUUGGGGAUCUUAGAGACCCCUUGUUAAUAAUACGUGUUUUGAGUUCUAAUACAGAGAGACAAAUGGCUUUCUCAAUGUGCGUAUGGAGGAACAUUUGGAAUUUCUGAACUGCUACUUUCACAUCUGCCAGAGAAUGGAGUUUUAUUGGAGAAUGAAGCCCUGCAUUUGGCAAUUUAUGCACAGCCAGUUUUUAAAAAAUAAUUAUUUGAUAAUAAUCAUUUAACAAUAUAUGAAUAUUGACUUUCCUAAGUAAUACUUACCAGAUUCUACCCGAAAGACCUCCUCAUUGUCCCAAAAUUUAUUUUAGCCAUUGCUAACACCAGAUCCUUGCUCAACUUUUCU
rnacentral:lncRNA from 10 species